rnacentral:rRNA from 1 species
GUAACGAGCGCAACCCUUCGUCCUUAGUUACCAGCACGUUAAGGUUGGGGCGACUCUAAGGAGACUGCCGGUGACAAACCGGAGGAAGGUGGGGAUGACGUCAAGUCAUCAUGGCCCUUACGGCCUGGGCUACACACGUGCUACAAUGGUCGGUACAAAGGGUUGCCAAGCCGCGAGGUGGAGCUAAUCCCAUAAAACCGAUCGUAGUCCGGAUCGCAGUCUGCAACUCGACUGCGUGAAGUCGGAAUCGCUAGUAAUCGUGAAUCAGAAUGUCACGGUGAAUACGUUCCCGGGCCUU